rnacentral:rRNA from 1 species
AUUGAACGCUGGCGGCAUGCCUUACACAUGCAAGUCGAACGGUAACGGGCCUUCGGGUGCCGACGAGUGGCGAACGGGUGAGUAAUGCAUCGGAACGUACCUUUCAGUGGGGGAUAACGUAGCGAAAGUUACGCUAAUACCGCAUAUUCUGUGAGCAGGAAAGCAGGGGAUCGCAAGACCUUGCGCUGAUUGAGCGCCCGAUGUCAGAUUAGCUAGUUGGUGAGGUAAAGGCUCACCAAGGCGACGAUCUGUAGCGGGUCUGAGAGGAUGAUCCGCCACACUGGAACUGAGACACGGUCCAGACUCCUACGGGAGGCAGCAGUGGGGAAUUUUGGACAAUGGGGGCAACCCUGAUCCAGCCAUGCCGCGUGAGUGAAGAAGGCCUUCGGGUUGGUU